rnacentral:rRNA from 1 species
ACGAACGCUGGCGGCGUGCCUCAUACAUGCAAGUCGAACGCACUCUCGUUUAGAUUGAAGGAGUUUGCUCCUGAUUGAUAAACAUUUGAGUGAGUGGCGGACGGGUGAGUAACACGUGGGUAACCUGCCCUAAAGUGGGGGAUAACAUUUGGAAACAGAUGCUAAUACCGCAUAAAACCUAACACCGCAUGGUGUAGGGUUGAAAGAUGGUUUCGGCUAUCACUUUAGGAUGGACCCGCGGUGCAUUAGUUAGUUGGUGAGGUAAAGGCUCACCAAGACCGUGAUGCAUAGCCGACCUGAGAGGGUAAUCGGCCACACUGGGACUGAGACACGGCCCAGACUCCUACGGGAGGCAGCAGUAGGGAAUCUUCCACAAUGGACGAAAGUCUGAUGGAGCAACGCCGCGUGAGUGAAGAAGGUUUUCGGAUCGUAAAACUCUGUUGUUGGAGAAGAAUGUAUCUGAUAGUAACUGAUCAGGUAGUGACGGUAUCCAACCAGAAAGCCACGGCUAACUACGUG